GACGUAGGGAGCGAGCGUUGUCCGGAUUCAUUGGGCGUAAAGAGCGCGCAGGCGGUUUGGUAAGUCGGAUGUGAAAUCCCGGGGCUCAACCCCGGACCUGCAUCCGAUACUGCCCGACUAGAGGUAGGUAGGGGAGAUCGGAAUUCCUGGUGUAGCGGUGAAAUGCGCAGAUAUCAGGAGGAACACCGGUGGCGAAGGCAGGUCUCUGGGCCGAAGUACUGA
rnacentral:rRNA from 1 species